rnacentral:tRNA from 1 species
GGAGAGAUGGCCGAGUUGGUCGAAGGCGCACGCCUGGAAAGCGUGUAUACAGGAAACUGUAUCGUGGGUUCAAAUCCCACUCUUUCCGCCA